rnacentral:rRNA from 1 species
UUUCCUACGGGAGGCAGCAGUGGGGAAUAUUGCACAAUGGGGGAAACCCUGAUGCAGCGACGCCGCGUGGGUGAAGAAGUAUUGCGGUACGUAAAGCCCUAUCAGCAGGGAAGAAGAAUGACGGUACCUGACUAAGAAGCACCGGCUAAAUACGUGCCAGCAGCCGCGGUAAUACGUAUGGUGCAAGCGUUAUCCGGAUUUACUGGGUGUAAAGGGAGCGCAGGCGGCACGCUGAGCCUGAUGUGAAAACCCGCGGCCCAACCGCGGUAGUGCAUUG